AGCGAACGCUGGCGGCAGGCUUAACACAUGCAAGUCGAGCGGGCCCUUCGGGGUCAGCGGCGGACGGGUGAGUAACGCGUGGGAACGUGCCUUCUGGUCUGGAAUAACCCUGGGAAACUAGGGCUAAUACCGGAUACGCCCUUUUGGGGAAAGGUUUACUGCCGGAAGAUCGGCCCGCGUCUGAUUAGCUAGUUGGUGGGGUAACGGCCUACCAAGGCGACGAUCAGUAGCUGGUCUGAGAGGAUGAUCAGCCACACUGGGACUGAGACACGGCCCAGACUCCUACGGGAAGUAGCAGUGGGGAAUAUUGGACAAUGGGCGCAAGCCUGAUCCAGCCAUGCCGCGUGAGUGAUGAAGGCCUUAGGGUUGUAAAGCUCUUUUAUCCGGGACGAUAAUGACGGUACCGGAGGAAUAAGCCCCGGCUAACUUCGUG
rnacentral:rRNA from 1 species